AGGCAGAAACAAGUCAGGGACAGAUCCUGGCACAAGGAAGCUAAAAUGGUGCCUUUAACAUAGGGGAAGGGGCAGGGCUGUAGAGUUGAGGCCAUCCCUUUAACAGCAGUGGGACUUUGUCACACACACACCCUCUGAGUCUUGGUGAGAAACUAGUCCCAGGGCCCCUUGUUGUCUCUGCCACCCCUGUU